rnacentral:misc_RNA from 1 species
GUGAAUCAUCGAAUUUUUGAACGCAAAUUGCACUCUCUGGUAUUCCGGAGAGUAUGCCUGUUUGAGGGUCAGUUUAAUUAAAAACGGGGGUGGUUGUUGCUUUUCGUGGUGCGGGACGGGAUUUGGGCCGCUUUGCUUUGGGUAAAGUGAUUUAAAAUUUUGCAUGAUUUUUUUAGAACGUUAAUUAAUGAACUUACGUACGAUUGAGCUAUUG